UACGUAGGGCGCAAGCGUUGUCCGGAAUUACUGGGCGUAAAGCGCACGUAGGCGGCUUUGUAAGUUAGAGGUGAAAGCCCGGAGCUCAACUCCGGAAUUGCCUUUAAGACUGCAUCGCUCGAAUCAUGGAGAGGUGAGUGGAAUUCCGAGUGUAGAGGUGAAAUUCGUAGAUAUUCGGAAGAACACCAGUGGCGAAGGCGACUCACUGGACAUGUAUUGACGCUGAGGUGCGAAAGCGUGGGGAGCAAACAGG
rnacentral:rRNA from 1 species